GGGGUGGGAGGCGCUGGGGAUGGUGGUUGUGAGGGCUGGAUAGGGCCUUUGCUGAGGCGAGUCAGGCUUCUGCUACCAUCCGCACACUCUUUGAGGUCACCCCGCCUCAAUCCGUGUUCUCCAUACCCAGCUUGGGAGUGUAAGAGUUGCCCUAUAGGAUAGGGAGCUCUUGCUGCCUUAGGGUUUACUAUGGUUUAAGCUGGCUGUAAACCUAUAGAACCAAGAGCACCAUGGGGAUUUUUUUUUUUUGUGGUAUAAAGGGGCAGGCUCAAUGCCUCUCUUUAAGAGCUUUAAUCUCACUUAUUUUCAUUGGCCAUUUGUCCCUGUAUGCUUUCCUGAGGCCCUGCACGUGUCAGUGGUCCUAGCUUGGCCCUCAGUCUUCAGCCUCUUGUCACCCACUGAAAUGUGGGGUGAUAGGAGCCAGUGUGCCCUACUCCUCACACAUGUGUCUUGUGGUUCCCAGGGACACCCCCUGCUCUUGUGCAGGCUCUGUCUUUUUCUCUGUGUCCAUGCCCAGCCACAUGAACCAAAGGGCCAUUGUUCAUGGACAGAUGUUGUGUGAAGACCUCGGGGAGACUUGCUGCACUAAAAUGUAUUGCUACAUUUGGGACCACAACCUCAUGGCCUUCCUGAGACCUGAUUUUACAACAAUAAGUGACAAUGAAGUGAUGAAGUCCCUGAGCAGAAGUGAAAGAGCCAAAAGAAGAUGAUGAUGAAGGUUCAUGGGCAAUCUGCCCUCUAACUCUAUCUUGCUCCCUGCUGUGGCAUUAUGGAAUGAAAUUGCUUGGAGGUGUUGUGUGCUGUAGGUGGAAUACAAAAGCAGCCCUGGGGCUGUACUGGCUGAGAUGUGAAGCCCAGUGGGACUGCAACGAUUUUUAUAAAUAAUGAGACAAAUACUUGCCCAAGUCCAGGAAAUAAGUGGUUGAGGCUGAUGUUUACAAUACACUGGAAAACCUAUACUAAAAAGACAUUAGGAAAUACCUUCAAAGUUUUUUGUCUGUUUCUGUAGCCAAUGGAAUACUUUCUUCAGCUGCCAGAAUUAUAGAUUCAACCUAUAAUCAAGCUUCAUUGAUACAAGUAGCUAUAAAGAUUGUGAACAUCAAAUUACAGCUGUGCUUCCUCUUUCACAGCAUGCAUUGAGAUCUAGUGAUCUGCUUUUACUGACUCCAGUGCUGAUGACAGCUGAAUAUUCAGAUGAAUUUCACUCCUUAUUUUACUGCACUUGAUUUUUCUGCAGUUGUUCUGGGUCUGGUGGGAAAUUGUGAAUAAAAAUAACUGGUAAAACUGUGCAAAUGAAGGCACAGUAUUAGGCAUGCAGUGUCAAAUUAAUGUUCUUUGAUCUUUUGUAGAAUCACUUAUAGUUGGAAAUACACUUCUGACCUUUUCUCUGGCACUGAGAAUAUUGCUGUGUCACUCCCUAAUGUGAAAUCUGGACAAUUUACAGGCACUAAAGAAAAGUGAUGCUAAGGGAUGUGAAAAAUAGCAAGAAGGAACCAUGCUGUCAGCAUGGCAAUAGCCUCUUGGUCUCAUGGAGACUGAUGAGAAAGGAUUAUUAGAAAAGUUGCCCAUUGUGCAAUGACACUUUUUCUGUAAUGUUUAUUGUAGUACAGAAUAAUGUAUUUUUCUCUGUGGGCUAGUCAGCAGUUUGUCACCAGAAGCAGGGUGGCCAGCAGGCCAAGGGAAGUGACUUUCCCCCUCUGCUCUGGUGAGACCCCACCUGCAGUGCUGUGUCCAGUUCUGGGCUCCCCAACAAGAGAAGGGAGAAAUUCCUGUUGGAACAAGUCCAGAGAAGGCUAUGAAGAUGCUGAGAGGACUGGAGCACAUCUGCUAUGGAAACAGGAUGAGAGAGCUGGAGUUACUAAGCCUGGAGAAAAGAAGGUUCCAAGGAGAUUUUGGAGUCCCUUUCAGUCCUUUAGGGACUUCAGAGCCUGAAAAGAGGCUACAAGGGUAGCUGGAGAGGGAUUUUUUACAAGGGCAUUUUGUGAUGGUGAAAUGGUUUGAAACUGAAAGUGGGGAGAUUUAGACAAAAUGUUAGGAGGGAAUUCUUUAACUGGAGGUUAGCAAGACACUGGAAGCUGGAGGAAGUGGUAGAUGCCCUGUUCCUGCAAGGGCUCAUGGCCAGAAUCAUUCUAUGGAUUGUUUAGGGUUUUUUUCCACAAUUUUGAUUCUUCUGUGCCCUCCCUCUCAUCCUCCCAGUCCCAUAUUUUUGUGGAAAGGAAAGUUAAGACAUUCUUCAGUGAGAAUUAAUGAUUUUGUCAUAUUCUCUAGAGCUUUGCAAAGUGCCCAAUGAGAGCAUCACUAAAUACAGAGUAACAAAUAACAAUUAUAAAGUAUCAUAAAUAUAAAAUUAAACUCUCUCAUGGCUACUAUUAACAAUAAAAAAAUUAUAGCAGGAAAAAGAAGGGUUCACUCCAAUCAAAAAUUCAGUCACUUUCAAGCACUGUUAACUAUUAUGUAUAAUUUGGCAUUGGUGAUAGACAAUGUUGCAACAAAAAGUUUUCAAAAUAAAAAAAACCCUACAAGACCCCAAGUGCCAAUAGAAUAUUGCAGGCAUUAAAUUUUGAUUUGAAAAUAUUUGAGACAUGCUGUGAUUUAGUCUUGAGUGUGUCAGCAUGAUUUUCUUAUUGAUCUGAGCUGGUUCAUAGUUUCUGAAAUGAAAUAUAUAUAAUUGGGGGGGGUGUGGUUUUGUGAAUUUUUUUCUUUAAUUUUGUGGCUUUUUGAUUUGGUUGGUUUUGGUACUGGUGGGUUUGUUUGUGUGUGAAACACUUGAAGGAUUCAAGUAGCACACAACCACAGCACCACAUUUAAACUGGCCAAAGUCAUUUGCAAAUGGGAAGCUUCUUAGGUUUUAAUAUAACUAGAAUAAGUUCUAUACUCAGGCUUUUUGUAUAUAAAUAUAAAACUGAGGUUAUAUGCAUAACUUUGUUUCACUUUUGUAAAUAUGAAAAUUUUGUAAACAUUUUGUAUGUGUGGUGUUCUGUGAACUCCUAGCUCUGCUUAUGUGCCAAUUAUAAGCCUUCUCUUGUAUUUUUGCACAAAAUCUUCUUGUGUUACUAUCUCUAUCUUGUUAUCUCUGGAACUGUACUCCUGUGCUACCUUUCCCUGCAGUACCCAUUACACUCUGUAAGAGACGAUGAAAAUGGUCAGAAAAUGAAGAGCAGUUGUGGAAUAUGACACAGA